rnacentral:lncRNA from 1 species
CAUGUUCAUGCAUGUCAACAGAUUGUGCCCAUGUUGUAGAUUAUGUUCCAGAUAGAGUCAGAGUUGACUGAUUCAGGCCAGAUCUGAGCCAAAGCCGUAAAGGAAUCAGCUUCUAUCUGGAUAGCCAUGUGUGUUAGAGAAUCAUACACUCCAUUGAAUCAGCUUCUAUUUGGAUAACCAUGUGUGUUAGAGAAUCAUACACUCCAUUGAAUCAGCUUCUAUUUGGAUAACCAUGUGUUUUAGAGAUUCAUACACUCCAUUGAAUCAGCUUAUAUCUGUAUAACCAUGUGUGUUAAAUAAUCAUACACUCCAUUGCAUCAGAGUAUGCCAUGACAAUAUCAUCAUUCAUCAACUCCUCUGAGAAGGCGAUACACUUAUGCCUGAUAAGUGGUUCAUCAGUAGCUUUUGGACACCUGUCAAUCAUGUGAACCCCCGUUCAUCCUCUCUAAUGCCAUGCCUCUCCAUCCCACUUCCUUUUUAGUCCCAGAACAGGAGACUAAAGUGCCAAACAGAGCCAUCCUCAUAACCAGAGCCCGUGUCCGACGCCUGGUCCACCUCCCUGGUGAAGAACUGGCUCGGGAUGGACUUCAGCCCCACUGGUAUCUGCAAAAUGCUCUUCCAGCCCGGCUACCCUGACCCAGCUACCGCGAGCACAGAAGGAGCUGGACCCAAGCAGAAAAAGGACAUUGCGCAGAAAAGGGGUGACACAGCGUCUAGACAGGAAGAGACCGUCGCUGACGAGCAGGAGGAAAUAGAGACAGGUGUGUGUUCUGCACUUUUCUCAAUCU